GACGAACGCUGGCGGCGUGCUUAACACAUGCAAGUCGAACGGAAAGGCCCUGCUUGCAGGGUGCUCGAGUGGCGAACGGGUGAGUAACACGUGGGUGAUCUGCCCCUUAUUUUGGGAUAAGCCUGGGAAACUGGGUCUAAUACUGGAUAGGACCAUGCUGUAGGUGGUGUGGUGGAAAGAUUAGUUUCGGUAAGGGAUGAGCUCGCGGCCUAUCAGCUUGUUGGUGGGGUAAUGGCCUACAAAGGCGUCGACGGGUAGCCGGCCUGGGAGGGGGAAGGGCACAUGGGGAAUGCGACGACGGGCCGAAGCCGUAGGGAGGCAGGCAGGGGGGAAUAUGGACAAAGGGGGCAACGCCGGUGGAGGGAAGGCGGGUGGGGGGUGGUGGGCUUCGGGUUGUAAAAUACCUUUCGCCCAUAAGAAGGCCGUGGGGUGACGGUAGUGGUAGAAGAAGCACCGGCUAACUACGUG
rnacentral:rRNA from 1 species